rnacentral:rRNA from 1 species
ACGGGUGAGUAACAUUUAGGAAUCUGCCUAGUAGUGGGGGAUAGCUCGGGGAAACUCGAAUUAAUACCGCAUACGACCUACGGGUGAAAGGGGGCGCAAGCUCUUGCUAUUAGAUGAGCCUAAAUCAGAUUAGCUAGUUGGUGGGGUAAAGGCCCACCAAGGCGACGAUCUGUAACUGGUCUGAGAGGAUGAUCAGUCACACCGGAACUGAGACACGGUCCGGACUCCUACGGGAGGCAGCAGUGGGGAAUAUUGGACAAUGGGGGCAACCCUGAUCCAGCCAUGCCGCGUGUGUGAAGAAGGCCUUUUGGUUGUAAAGCACUUUAAGCAGGGAGGAGAGGCUAAUGGUUAAUACCCAUUAGAUUAGACGUUACCUGCAGAAUAAGCACCGGCUAACUCUGUGCCAGCAGCCGCGGUAAUACAGAGGGUGCGAGCGUUAAUCGGAAUUACUGGGCGUAAAGCGAGUGUAGGUGGCUCAUUAAGUCACAUGUGAAAUCCCCGGGCUUAACCUGGGAACUGCAUGUGAUACUGGUGGUGCUAGAAUAUGUGAGAGGGAAGUAGAAUUCCAGGUGUAGCGGUGAAAUG